rnacentral:rRNA from 1 species
UACGGAGGGGGCGAGCGUUAUUCGGAAUUACUGGGCGUAAAGGGCUCGUAGGCGGCCCACUAAGUCAGACGUGAAAUCCCUCGGCUUAACCGGGGAACUGCGUCUGAUACUGGAUGGCUUGAGGUUGGGAGAGGGAUGCGGAAUUCCAGGUGUAGCGGUGAAAUGCGUAGAUAUCUGGAGGAACACCGGUGGCGAAGGCGGCAUCCUGGACCAAUUCUGACGCUGAGGAGCGAAAGCCAGGGGAGCAAACGGG